UAACAAGGAUUCCCCUAGUAACUGCGAGUGAAGCGGGAAAAGCUCAAAUUUAAAAUCUGGCGGCAUUGGUCGUCCGAGUUGUAAUCUGGAGAAGCAUUUUCUGUGUCGGACCGUGCACAAGUUUCCUGGAACGGAAUGUCAUAGAGGGUGAGAAUCCCGUCCAUGGCACGGAUCACCGAUGCAUUGUGAUAUGCUCUCGAAGAGUCGAGUUGUUUGGGAAUGCAGCUCAAAAUGGGUGGUAAAUUCCAUCUAAAGCUAAAUAUUGGCGAGAGACCGAUAGCGAACAAGUACCGUGAGGGAAAGAUGAAAAGCACUUUGGAAAGAGAGUUAAACAGUACGUGAAAUUGUUGAAAGGGAAACGCUUGGAGUCAGUCGCGUUGGCCAGGAUUCAGUCGCUCUUACCGGGGUGGAUUACUUCCUGGUGAACGGGUCAACAUCGAUUUCGAACGGUGGAUAAAGGGGAGAGAAAGGUGGCACCUUCGGGUGUGUUAUAGUCUCUCUUUCGCAUACACCGGCCGGGAUCGAGGAUCGCAGCACGCCUUUAUGGCCGGGGGUUCGCCUCACGUAACGUGCUUAGGAUGUUGGCAUAAUGGCUUUAAGCGACCCGUCUUGAAACACGGACCAAGGAGUCUAACAUGCUCGCGAGUGUUAGGGUGGAAAACCCUUGCGCGUAAUGAAAGUGAAAGUUGGGACCUUCGUCAUGGAGGGCACCGACGCCCGGCCUUGAACUCUUGUGACGGUGCUGCGGUGGAGCGCGUAUGUUGGGACCCGAAAGAUGGUGAACUAUGCCUGAAUAGGGCGAAGCCAGAGGAAACUCUGGUGGAGGCUCGUAGCGAUUCUGACGUGCAAAUCGAUCGUCAAAUUUGGGUAUAGGGGCGAAAGACUAAUCGA
rnacentral:rRNA from 1 species